rnacentral:rRNA from 1 species
UAGGGAAUCUUCCGCAAUGGACGCAAGUCUGACGGAGCAACGCCGCGUGAGUGAAGAAGGAUUUCGGUUCGUAAAACUCUGUUGUUAGAGAAGAACAGCGCAUAGAGUAACUGUUAUGCGUGUGACGGUAUCUAACCAGAAAGCCACGGCUAACUACGUGCCAGCAGCCGCGGUAAUACGUAGGUGGCAAGCGUUGUCCGGAUUUAUUGGGCGUAAAGCGAGCGCAGGCGGUCAAUUAAGUCUGAUGUGAAAGCCCCCGGCUCAACCGGGGAGGGUCAUUGGAAACUGGUUGACUUGAGUGCAGAAGAGGAGAGUGGAAUUCCAUGUGUAGCGGUGAAAUGCGUAGAUAUAUGGAGGAGCACCAGUGGCGAAGGCGACUCUCUGGUCUGUAACUGACGCUGAGGCUCGAAAGCGUGGGUAGCAAACAGG